GGAGUCCUCCAAGCUUGUCUCCUCUCCACCACAGAAGGAAAUUCUGGGCCGCUGACGAUGGGUCAUUAUUACUUUUGGUACGCGCUGUGACACAUCAAACUCGUACCGUGAGUAAUAAUGCGCCAUUGGCAGCCUGGGCAGCAAGAAAGA
ensembl:miRNA sha-mir-126 sha-mir-126